CCAACAAACCCCAAACCCAAAUAAAACCCCCAAGGUUUUUUUAUGCUAGCUCUAUGAAAAUCCUGGCUAUUAAACUCCCAAGGAUAGCAUAACUCUUUUCUCCAGGGCUGUGAAGAUAGAAUUUAUUGUCCAUUUGGAACGAUCAAGUUUAGGCUAAUAAAAGGCCCUCUGUAAGCAGAAGUGCCCAAGUUGAUGUUUGGCAGAGUUUUCAAUGGUAGAGUUUAUAUAGGAUGGGGGCUCUGCACUAUUCAAAAUUACUCAUCUCUCAGCAGCUGAGGAUGAGUUGACGUACAGAAGUAAACGUUAGUAGACAACAGCUGAAGGUUAAUCAGCUCUGCUUUCUGAACUGGAGGGUUGAAAGCAGGAAGAAGUGAAAGCUGCUCUCUCGAGCCCUUCCCUUUGCUAAGGUGCUGCUAACUUUUAUGAUUUUUCUCUCCCCCCUCCUCUCUUCCUCUUUUACUAUCUGUCUUUGUGCCUGAGGGCCAGUGAAAGAACACUGCAGAUUCUAGAUUGCUUUCAGAGUUUCCCUUUGCUGAUGAUGGAUUACCAUGUCAAUUUAAACGGCAUAGGAUUAAUUUGUUUCAAUGAUUUCUCUUUAGGCUGAAUGCCAGUCUUUUUUUUUUCCUGUCUCUCUCUUUGCUCUUAAGAAUAAUAACAAUAAUAAUAAUAAAAAAAAUCCUUAAAAACCCCAAACAUUUUUGAUCUCCCACUUUAAAAAGACAAUAAUAGAAACAGACAAGUUAGGUGUAAUGUUGCAAAACAGUUGUAGAUUUGAGUGUUUUUAUCUCAUUCUAAGGGGCUGAAGCAUACAGUCAGUCACAUUAAAAUGAAAUUGGAUCCAACGUUUAUUCAAUAAAUACUUGUCUUGUAGGUAAUCCAGAGCAGAGUGCUUUUGACACAUAAGGACUUAAUUUGUCUUGGAUAACAAGUUAUUAAUAUGGCACAUUUAAACUUGCCACCUACAAUAAGGUCAUUUAGAUCUAUAAUACAACUCGCAAGAGAACUUCAUAAAGCCAGAAACAAAGUUUGAUUCUGCCUCCGAGUUGUGGAGCAGAACGUGGUUUGCUCUUUUCAGCAGAAAGUUCAGAGCGAGUAAGAGCUACCCAAACCCAAAUGGUGUGCAUCUGCUCUCCUUUGGAAGGCAAACGUAAAUGGAGUAAGGAGGGGAGAAGGAAAAAAAAGAACCCAAACACACGUUUUUGAAUGAGUAAGCUCUAAAGCUGCGCUGCGUCUGCUAGCAAACUCAUCGCAGCUUUGGGAGUGAAAAAACAACAUUUGGUUCCGAGUGGAAAUUCGCCUGCGUUUGCACCCUACCUCUUCCACGUGCUUUGCAAUUUACUUGCUUUUAAUAAUAAGCGAGGAAGUUGGAACAUAAUCCACCCAUAAAUGUUAUUGCUGUAAUUUGACUGUGAUGUGUUUGUUCAUGCAUUAGCCGUAUAUGUAAAGCGAAGUGGGGAUGUAUGGUGGUGAUCCCCAUGCAGCCUGAACAAACAGAGAUGUUUUGGUACAUACUGGAUUUCAACCCCCAAAUGCUCUGCAGUCUGGGAAGCUGGAGGUGGGGUGUUUAGUUUCAGACCUGUCCUAACCAAACAAUGCCUGCACGAGGUGCAUCAGGAGUGGAAUAUCGGGGGCAUGUGAUGCAGGAGGUGUUCUGCGGCUGGUGACUCGGUGUCCACACCGUUAUGCAUGAGCUUUAUUAUUCUGCUUUGAUGUAUUAAGCUCUUGGUUGCUCCUGCCCUGGCAGAUUCUGUCUCUUUAAGUAACUAAAUCUAAUUUUUAAGCUCUUCCUGGGAAAAGGAUGUUACACAUGAGUAGAAAAAUGCAGGCGAGAAAGGCUAAUUGAAUGAAAAGAGAGAAUUAGGUUAAAAAUAGAGUACAAUCUAGUAUCACAUUUUCACUAGUGUAACCUGAAAUGAAGGUGUCUCCAAGUCCCUAGUGAUGCCAGAGUGUUUAGAUGUUGGGCACAGAUGGAGACACCUAUUGAAAUGUGUCUGAAGAAGAUUAAUAGGACUUGUCAGUGUUGGGAAAGCACUGCUUUGCUGUAAAUUUCUACUAGCACAAGAUGAAUUACCGAUGAAUGCUCAGUUAUCAACCCCAUCACUAUCAUUGGACACUAAAUCAAAUUGAGCAGUUAUCUACAAUCAGAAAAUUUCUUUUAAAAAUAGGCAUACACCUUUAGGCUUAAACUCUUUAAGAAGACAAAAUCCUCUGUGGUAUGUGUGUGUUCACGAAGGGAUAUGAUUUAAAGUUUCUAUACAAAAAGCUUCUGUUCAGAAGCAAACUCAAGUUUAGUGUGAAAUCUGAGUUGUCAGACAAUAGAAAUAUUCAGAAGAUACUAGUUAUAUGAUACAAUGUUCUGCUGGGGACCUGAUCCAAAAUGGAUUUUCGUGCAUGUCACUGAAUUUUGGAUCUGUCCCUAUUUGUGGGAGGUUUUUCCUUCAUCCCUCCUCUCCCCUUAUUUUUGGUGAUGAUAAAACCCCUUCUCUCUACCUUAAAGACUGAGCAUCCAAGAUCAUAUAUGAAUGCAGAACAGCUGUCAAGACUCAGGAUUUAUGUAUCAUAAUAAUACCACCCCCCAACUUAUUUAUGAAAUUACAGCUUAACAUAAUGAAACAUGUGAUGAAAGAAUCAAUGUAUAAUAUGUUAACUGAGAAUAUUUCCUUCUAUCCUUUAUAAGAAGGGAAACUGUCACAAGCAAAACUACCAUAAACAUUUACCAUCCUGCUGCUGAAGUAUAUUAUCUGUAUUUACUGCGUGAUGUUGAUGAUGACAAUGAUAUUAAAUAAGCAUCCUCUAUCUUUAGUUUCUAGGAUUUCUUUCCCUCUCACCCAGGCAUUGUGCUACUUUAUCCAAGGAGAUUUAUCGUGGCGUGUUUUCAGAAGUCAAUUUUUACCUUUUAUUAUAGACAAGGGCAGUCAUUUAUGUUUAGGGAGGGAGACAGGUACAGUGCCUUUAUCAGAUCUGCGUCCCCAGCCACAGCUCCCUUCUUAAUCGACAGCAAAUUCCCACUCUGGAGGAUCAGGCCCUAUCUGGGCUGCUUCUCAGCCCGGGAAUGUAUCCUUCCCUUCACCUCCACAUAUCUUACCUGUGAUGUAUGCUACUUUUUGAGGAGGGAAUAAUACGCUAUUUACCACAAAGUGCAGCUUCAAAGCCUUUGUGUGUUUCUCAUCUCCAGCCAAAAGCUUAUUAUUUACCACCUUAUAAAUUUACCCGGGUGAGGGAUAGUAGCGGUUAUUGUCUCCAUUUUUACAUCCUAAUUUUCACACAGCAAAAUGCCCUGCAUUAGGGUCAGAUUCUUACUCAGAUGGAAGUUAUUAACUUUAGCAGAACAGAGCCGAUUUCAGCCAGCCACAGCCCGUGCCCUUCCAACACAGUCACUUUACAGCGUCCCCUUGUUUAUUUUUCCCUUUGGAGGGCAUGAUUCGUUAAACGUGUUUGUUUUACACAGAGCAGCAGUUGAUUCCUAACUUUCCUCCCCCUGCCCCAAACAUAUAAAGAGAAUAUUAAUAGAGAAUAUUAAUAGAGCUGAGUGCAUUGUGAUGCUAGUUAGAUUGUAGUAGCUGAGAAAUAUGAACUAGCGAACAUAAUCCAUAAACUCCAUUUGGUUACUAUAAUACUCCAAUCUGUAUUUAUUACAACCCCACUCUGAUGCUUAUACAACUGCAAUUGCUAGAUUUAUACACUCUAAUGGUUUCACAAUAGGAAAAACCUGUGUUCUUUAUCUUUCUUUUCCUGUCCAAAAUAACCCCUUCCACAUAUACUUCAGGCUUCUCCAGACCUUGUCUGGGUUUAAUCACAGGCUCUGGGACAAAAUGUGCAUUAUUAAGAAAUAUAAAUAUUUUCAGAAGCAAUCAAAGGGUUGAAAGAUUGAUUCGGCAUGUAGAUUGGAUUUAAUUCGAAGCAGCUUUGUUCUAAUGAGGACUACUGGGAUACAAAGACGGCAGCCGCUUAUGGCCACCAGUUGGGAACUUCGACUCGCUGCAGCAACCUGUCAAGAAUUUCAAGGGACUGCCAGGUAUUAAGCAGCAAAGUGGUGGGGAAGCUGGUGGUCUAUUGUUUUCAGCCUCCUUCCGAGGCUGGAUUAAGGUUUCAUAGCCCCUGUUUUCCCAAAAUGACAAUUAAGGUUAAUUUCUUGCUGCCCACAGGACCAAAUCCUGUUCAGGGAGAAGCCCCUCUGGACUUUAUGGGGGGCUUUGACUAAGGGAGAGGUGGCAAAGUUUGGCUGAGCCCCAAGUCCAGCAAAUCUGAGAGCCCCGUAGUGAUUUGUUCUGCUUCCAGACCUGGUGUGGCUGCUUUUUGUGACUUAUUUCUGUUAAAUUUUGCUACCUCUGCUCCUAUACGCGACAAGACCUUUUUGCACAGGGCAGUGUUUUUCCCUGUGGAGAAACACAGCUCUGUGUUGGCUGGGAAGCUCCUGUGUCCUUGUUGGGUGACCUGGACCUGUUCUGUUUCCCAGGGAAAAGCCUGAGACGUGCAACAAAACAUCCUUGAGGUGAUGCUGAACAAAACGGGACACUCAGUAGCUUUACCCUUAGACUUAAAAGAACCCCCCAAGCAGUAAGAUUUCAGUGUGUGCCGUGGGGGGGGGGGUGUCACAUCACAGGUAUUUGGGGAGCACAAGACCCUGGCUGCUUUCCUAAAUGUCUAGCGUACAGUCAGAAUCACAGUAUAUACAGGAUCAAACACUGACUAGUUUCUCUCUCCCCUUAGCCCCCCUCCCUUGCCUACUUUUGUCCAUAAAAGCAAGAGAAAGAGAGAAAGCUUGAAUUUUCUGAACUGUUUCACCCAUCCACAGCUGGAAUUCCAAAGCGAAAUGAAAAUGCCUUUAAAAUCAACCCUACAUGGGAGCCUGAGAGAACAAGUUUUCCUUUGUUGUAGGGUAUAGUAUUAUUUGCUGUAGGUUUUUGAUAUACAUUCUAAAUUAGGCCUGCAAAGGAAUGCUUCAUCUUUAAUUCAUCACUCUCAGCUGAAAGAGAUUAGCAAUGUCUAGCACGCACCCUUCGUAUGGUGCUGACCUCAUCAAGUAUGGCCUGAAAUUAAUUAGCCUCAUUCAUUCCAAAUGGAAAAGGAUAAUGGAGCUGCAUUUUAGAGAUGACCAUCACAAAUUGUAUGCAGCAUAUUUAAAAUCCCACCCCCCCCAUUCCCCUCCCCAUUAAAAAAACUAUGUAGAUUAAAAUUCUUUCCAGAACUUGCAAUAUGUCAGAGUUAUCGAGGCAUUAGGAGCAGAAACCACUCCGUUUUUAUUUGUGGAACUGGGAGCCACGUUUUGUAUGUGUGGCUGUAAAAGCAGCAAGCCUGUCAUAAAUGGCACAACACCUGGAAUUAAUCUGAUAUUUCCAGGUGCUCUGGCAAGCUGGGGCAUCAAGCGCUUGGUGUUUAAACAUUCUUCCACUGGCUUGCUUAAAUCAAUAUGAAAGUGGUGUCCCUUUGUCAUUCAUAGAUGCAAAGUGCUAGCACAAACUCCAGCUUGGCUUCAGAGUCCUACAUCACUCAUAAUCUAAUUAGAAAUCAGAGCAGAGCCGAAGCAGCAUUCUUUGUGGAUUCUUGGGCAGCAAAUAGGGAUACUUGUCUUUUGUUUCCCUCCUCGAUUGCAUCGUUCACAAGCUUUCACACCACAUCUCUAAAGGUGGUUAGGUGCCUCAAGAUGUUGACAGGCAUGAAGGACAAGAUUAUUUAGGUAUUUAGGUGCCUACCCAGGGUGAUUUCAAAUGGAAUUAAGCAACUGGAUGUUACUGGGGGAAAAAAAGGAGGGGGGGUGGGGGGGAGAAAAAAGAAAAGCUUCCAAUGCAUAUGAAAAGGUCUAAUUUGUUGUCCUAAACUCUAGCAACGUGGGUGAUGUUUUCCAGGGUAAAAUUGCCUGCAGGGUGAAUUUACUGAAGUCUGGCAGUUUAUACUGAGAUGAGUGGGUCCUUGGUUUUGGGCAGUGCGGCUCCAUCAGCUCCUCCCUGGCCAGGCACAGUGGUGGUGUCUGCUCCAGUUGCUUCCCAAGAGACAGGAAAGCGGUAAAGAACACAGGAUUUUCCACAGGAAUUUGGAAGAUGCCCAUGUAUAAGACAAUGGUGAGGAUUGGGCCAAAAUCCAGAUCAAGCCUGGAUUCCUCCACCUGAGUAGUCCUGUCUCAACCUACGACUGCUGAUGGAUAAUGGCAACGUGGAUCUUCCUGUCUUCUUACUCCCCAGCACCAGAUCAACAAAAGGGCCUGAGAUAAUACUGGAUGAAGCAUCACAAGACCAUGACUGGAAAGUGUGGGGACCACGCACACAGAGAGAUGCUGGUUCCCUGACUGCCACUGGUUCAUCUCUGUCAUGGCACAAGCUACAAGAGAAUGGAGAAUGGUUGUGAGGACCAUUCCUGUCCUGGCUUCUCUCAUCAGUGCUUUGAGCUAUGUGAAGCCUUGAGAACCAAGGCAACAUGUGACCAUGACCAGAUGUACAUGGAUAUGCUGGUAAACUGGCAUUCAGUCCAGAGGCUGGACAGAAAUAAAUCACUAGAUAAAAUAUAAUAUGCUGAGUGAAAACCUUUAUGGAACAUGCUCUUGCCCCAAACUCCUCCUGGAAUAAGCACAGUAAUGCUCCCUGAGACCUGGCAGCCCUUCUAAGUGAACAUAUGGUCUGCUCAGCUCUUGCUGUACCCCUGCAUGGUUCCUGAUGCUAAAGGUCUGACCUUAAAAUGAGCAGUGCAAGAAUGGGUACUGCAGCGAGCUUCUGGCCUUCAACCCUUCCAAAUACAGCUAUUUUAGUAACCAGAACAGUAUAUUCAUGAUGGGUGAGGGAACAGAGCCUUCCAGAGAAGGAUUUCUUGGCACAUUAACUCUGUCAGUGCUGGAUGCUGUGUCCCUAUUCAGGUUACUUGUGUCUAUUUAAGAUCCUAAAUAUAGAUUUGCAGAAGCCUUGUAACUUCAUGGAUGUGCUUCAGUGCCUGCUGCACCUAAAUCUUAACCAUUUUUCCUGGGGAUUUCCACAUAGAUCUGGGGAGAACUGCAAUCACACACCUCUGUGAGUAGUUCAGACCUGAAUUUCUUGUCCAUGGGAGAGGCACAGCCUGGUUUGCUACAAUGCAACUGUCUUCAUUAACGUUCUUCAAGCCCUGAUAUACUGGCUUUGUACACCAUCAUUUGCCAUUGUAGGUGCCAUCUUAAUCUCUGGUUUUGGUAUGACAGACUAUGAGGUCUCAGUGAUACCGCACCAUCCUGUUCCCUGCUUUCAGGCUCAGGUCACAGGCUGGAUUUGGAAGCAGCAACUUUCAUGCAGAGAUGUGACUGGUAUCUGAAUACUAUUCCAGGGUUCACCUCAGCUCUGGCUUGAGAUCACACAUUAGGCAAUGAGAUGACAAACCGGUUUCCUUCCUCAAGCUGAAUGUCACGUAGUUGCCCAGGGGUCCACUUUGGUGGGGGGGUCAUGUUCCCUGACUUUUCAAGGGGAGAUGUGCUGAUGUAACCCUUUCCCAUCCUGUGUACACUUGGCAGGAGGAGACAAAACUGCUCCUUUCCACCCAUGACAUUUCCCAGCCGGGUAGACAGCUCAUGAUGCACCAGAACAGCCACUUGUUAGACACUGACAAAGAAACCUCCAAAACCCAAGUGGAGAUGAAUUCUCAGGGCUAAAGCAAGCUGAUAUAAAGGGUGACGGUACCUUUCUACCCACCCAAUAAGAUUUGUUACUCCUAGAUGGGACAACACACAAACCAACCCCAAAUGCUUUGUAGCUGAUAAAUCUGGUUUAGUGAACAGAGCCCUGAUCAGUGGUAUCAUAGGCUAAUACAUGCUGCAGUAUUAGUAGAAGUCCAAAAGCCCCAAAGAGUAGUGUGGAUCAUUGUUACCAACAAGAAUAUAGUAGGUGAAGGGCUAUUGUAAUUCCUGGCAGCAGGAGCCUGUCUGGAGGCACAGACUUCCCAAAGCAGAGGAGAGUUGGAGAACUGGGGAUAUUCAGCUAGAUCUCAUCCCCCUGCAGAUUUACCAGGCCAGCUCAGCCAGGGUAAAGGAAAUGAGCGAGGUCCUGAGCUCUGCUCAAAGUUCAUUGCUCUGUUGAUGGUGAAGAAGUAUCUAUAGAUCAGGAUCUUGAACAGAGACUGGUGUAUCAGUUGAAGCUGUACAAACUAAACCGUAUAUUCCCCAACUACAGAUAAAACAAAUGGCCAAUUUUAGCCUAAUCAUCACUUCUGCCAGAGGAAAGAGAAACUCUUUGAGGUAAGUCCCCUUGGAUAUAAUUCUUUCUUUCCAGGUUAAAGAAGGGCUGCAGCUAAUAUAUAUCCCGAGCCAUAACAUGGAUUUGCACCUUUCCUGUUAAAUAUAGCUGGUUCGUGUCCAAAGCAUCACUUUUAUUCCUAAUGCUCACUUAUACCAUUACAACUUCUACAUUAGUUGCAGGUGUGAAAUGCCAACAGAUCCACACCUCUCUUGCUGUCAGCAGGAGAGUAACGUAUGUCAAAGGCCUUAUUCUCAGAGGUGAGGUCACCAGGAUCUCCUCGUUUGCACAUCUGCUUUGCUAAACACAAAGCUCUGGAGAUUUGCAAAGCUCCAAUAUGCACAAAAUGGGAUGAGUUCACUGGGAGCCACACAGGAGAAACUGUUUGUGCUUCUCCUUUAGUGGGCAGGUCACAGAAUUUUCCCUCUAUACAAAAUAUUAGCUGUUUUACAACAGGCAGCAUUUACUAGUUUUCACAUGGAUAUUUGUAUGUUCUGUAUUAAUAAGGAGAAAGGCUACACUUCAUGUUACAUGAUACAAGAAAAUUCAGGAUACCAAGGUAAAAAAGAGCUCAAUACAUCAAGCAGCUUCAGAAAGAUGUUAAUAUUCAGUGUGUCCCUGCUUGGAAUGCGAAGAUAUUAACUCCUGGAGGAACAAUGCUUCUGGAGACUGCUUCAGAGAGGCAGCCAGAUUUGGUUUUGAGGGCUUCAGAGAAGCGUUCACAUAUUUCUACUUUCUGUUGUUAGUGGGUUUUAUACCUUGGAAAAAGUCUUUGAAUUAACGUGUGCACAUGAUGUCUACAUCUUGCUCAGGGAUCUCUAAUACACAGUAUUUUUGGCCUUCUACAUUUUCCACAAGGUCAAAGACUAAUCGUAUAUAUACACCUAAAUAUUUUCUGAUUUCUGCUAAUAUCCUUUAAUAUCUGCAAUAAAGAUUCCCACAAGUAAUCUA